rnacentral:rRNA from 1 species
CAGGCUUAACACAGACAAGUCGAACGCCCCGCAAGGGGAGUGGCAGACGGGUGAGUAACGCGUGGGAACAUACCCUUUCCUGCGGAAUAGCUCCGGGAAACUGGAAUUAAUACCGCAUACGCCCUACGGGGGGAAGAUUUAUCGGGGGAGGAUUGGCCCGCGUUGGAUUAGCUAGUUGGUGGGGUUAAAGGCCUACCAAGGCGACGAUCCAUAGCUGGUCUGAGAGGAUGAUCAGCCACAUUGGGACCUGAGACACGGCCCAUUCCCNNUACGGGAGGCAGCAUGGNGGGGAAUAUUUGGACAAUUGGGCGNCCAAGCCCUUGAUCCCAGCCAUGCCG